CUGGCUUACUUCUGCCAGUCCUAUCCACACUUGGAGCACAGCUCUUCCCGGGAGCUCUGUGCAGAGGGUAGCUCUCUGCUGGCGUUAGAGGACAGAGCCAGAGGAGAAGAGUACAGAGCAGCGCCAUGAAUAUUAUCCUGGAUCUCCUCCUGCUCCUGCUCACCAUUAUCUACUCCUACUUGGAGGCACUGGUGAAGGUUUUCUUUCCCCGAAGGAGAAAAUCGGUGGCUGGGGAGAUCGUUCUCAUUACAGGAGCCGGGCAUGGAAUCGGGAGGCGGACUGCCUAUGAAUUUGCAAAACGGAAGAGCCGACUGGUUCUGUGGGAUAUUAAUAAGCACGGUGUUGAGGAAACAGCAGCCGAAUGCAGAAAACUGGGGGCCACAGCCCAUGCCUAUGUGGUGGACUGCGGUAACCGAGACGACAUUUAUAACUCUGUGAAGCAGGUAAAGAAAGAAGUGGGAGAUGUGACCAUCCUAGUGAAUAACGCGGGGACAAUAUAUCCAGCUGACCUUCUUAGUACCAAGGAUGAAGAGAUCACCAAAACUUUUGAGGUCAACAUCCUGGGACAUUUUUGGAUCACAAAAGCACUUCUUCCACCCAUGAUGAAGAGAAAUCAUGGCCACAUUGUCACAGUGGCUUCAGUGUGUGGCCACGGAGUGAUUCCUUAUCUUAUCCCAUAUUGUGCCAGCAAAUUUGCUGCCGUUGGCUUCCAUAGAGCUCUGACAUCAGAACUUGAAACCUUGGGGAAAACUGGAAUCAAAACCUCAUGUCUCUGCCCAGUUUUUGUGAAUACUGGGUUCACCAAAAACCCAAGCACAAGGAAAAAAAUGUUCUGUGGGUCUUCCUUAGAGAUUCUGACUGAGAUGAGCUCCAAGAAUGAGACGUUUUGCUUUGCUUUGCUUUACAAGCAUACCUAUACCUACCAGGCUGUGGCCUCUCUUGGAGACAGAUACAGUUGCAAGAAGCUUGAUAGACGGAAUACUUACCAAUAAGAAGAUGAUUUUUGUUCCAUCAUAUUUCAAUAUCUAUAUAAUACUAGAAAAAUUUCUUCCUGAACGAGCCUUGGCAGCUAUAAAUCAUUUACAGAACAUUCAAUUUGAAGCAGUGAUUGGCCACAAAACCAAAAUGAAAUGAAUAAUUGAGCUCCAGCCAGAGAUGUAUGCACCUUAACAAUGUAAAUCUAAGCUUAGAAUCAAUGCAUCAAAGCUUAAUUUCACAUUUUUCAAUUCUGUUAAUAUUAAAAACAUUGGUUUGACAUUAGCAGCGCUCAAAUGAACGAGACUAAUUACCUGUCUUUCUCAAGAAGAUUAAUGUAGCUCUAACAAAUCCAUUUUUCAUCCCAUGCCUCUUAAAAACUUCUGUGCUUACAUACACAUACUCAAAAAGCCACUCUUCUUAAGAUAUUUUAUUGCUUUUCUUUCUGCUUGGAGGGGAACAAGGCUACCUCCCUGAGAGUAAAUACAAAGCGAACUUAAUUUACACAGGAAAGGCCUAAGACCUUGUCAACAUGUACACCCUGUGAGCUGGCAGUUAGAGAUGAAGUUUAAGAAGCUGGUACUCCUCCAAAGGACAAAGAGGUUAGAUCUAUGAAAUUCAACAUUUGGAAGCUUUCUCUAGCUUCUCCCACUGCAUCAGCCCCAAACAGUACAACAGUAUUCUGUAGUUUCUUGCUUGAUUCUGUCCCUUGUAUAGUUCUUAUGUCCACCAGGAGUAGACACUCUGUACUUUCUGCCCUUUUCAUAACCUCUUAAAAUACUGUGCCAUACAAAAGGUGACCCUCUCUUGAAUCUCAGGAUAUCUGAAAUUUUAACUCCAGGAUCAUUGGUACCAGAGAUGUUUAGAUAGUUUUGAGCUUCAAAAAUAAAAACUAACAGAAAGGAGUUAGGCUGACUACCUAAUACUAGACAGUGGAUUUAAGAGAUGAAAGAGUGGUCUCUUUUUUAAAUAGAAAAAAAAUCUGAUUCCCACUACAUCAAGAGUAAUCUUAUCUCAGGGUUUUUCUCAUAUAUCAUGGACUGCUUUUACAUCAACUAUCUGCCUGUUUUUAUUAAAAAUGAUAGAUUAAAAACCAAUCAUUAAUAAAAAUUUCUUAAAAACAAA